GAAGGGAGAGAAAACAAAGGAGGACACUCUGAGGAGACGGGUCUUGUGAGGAGGCCGAGAAGUUUGGGCAGAGGGGUCUGGCGUUGCCUGAGGGAGAAGGAAGGUUCGGGAAUGAUUUUGAAAUAUUUAAUAAUUUACCAGAGGUGUGAAACAGCAGGAGUAUCAAAGGGAGCAUUGCUAGAAGGACAGCUAGUGAUUUCCAUAGAAGCAUUAAAUUCUAAGCACCAAGCAAAUACUCUUCACUGUGUAACAACUACAGUAAACAUCUUUAAGAAGGGUGUGAUAGUUUGGUUUGCUGUUAACUCUGCGUGAACUCCCUUCUGACUGGACAGAGUUCCCACCAUUCCUGAAGGAGGUGCUACACGGCGAGAGUGAUGUUUUUCUGCAUAAGGUUGUAUUAGCUUGUGCACUGAUCAUGAUCCAAUAAACUGUGGUCAGAGUGGCAGGGUGAUUUCACUCCAAGCAAAGGACUUGAGCCACACAGCUUUUGGCAAGAAACUGAAUUACAUAGACAUUUUGAGCCUAAUGGACCGCUUCAGUCCAUCUAGUAUGAGGAGCAUUUCUCUUCUGUUUAUUGUCUCUGAUCUUUAUAUUGGCAGGAGGAAAGGUGAUAUGUGCUUGUCAUGAAACAUUAUAACAU
rnacentral:lncRNA from 1 species